GUACACGCUGUGACUAGCAUAUCAAUAAGCGGAGGAAAAGAAACUAACAAGGAUUCCCCUAGUAAUGGCGAGUGAAGCGGGAAGAGCUCAAAUUUGAAAUCUUAAAGGGUUUCCCUUUACGAAUUGUAGUUUAAAGAAGUGUUUUCUGUUGAGGUUUUGGUAAAAGUUCUUUGGAAUAGGACAUCAUAGAGGGUGAGAAUCCCGUAUUUGACCUUUACUUUCAACUUUGUGAUACACUUUCAAAGAGUCGGAUUGUUUGGGAAUGCAGUCCAAAAUGGGUGGUAAAUUUCAUCUAAAGCUAAAUAUUGGCGAGAGACCGAUAGCGAACAAGUACCGUGAGGGAAAGAUGAAAAGAACUUUGAAAAGAGAGUUAAACAGUACGUGAAAUUGUCAAAAGGGAAGCGUUUGACACCAGUGUUGUUUUUCUGAAAAUCAAUUAAAGAACUGUUUAUGCUAAGCUGUUUAGACUUUAUCAGCUAUCUGUUUAGUUUUGAGCUUUUCUUUAAUGCACUUUUCAGUUAACAAGUCAACAUCAAUUUCUUUUGCUGUAAAAAAGCUUGAGGAAGGUGGCUUGAGAUUCGUCUUAAGUGUUUAUAGCCUCUUGCCUAUGCAGUCGGAGAGAUUGAGGUCUGCAGCGUAGAUCCUUCGGGGCUAAAUGCAUUUGUGCUAAGUUAUAGCAUUUUAUAGACAACUUGUUGACUAUGAUUUGUCUUGUAGCUUACUCGCUUAUGUUAUUUUACCUACGCUUAGGAUGUUGACGAGACUGUCGAUCUC
rnacentral:rRNA from 1 species